rnacentral:rRNA from 1 species
GACGAACGCUGGCAGCGUGCUUAACACAUGCAAGUCGAACGGAAAGGCCCCUUUGGGGGUACUCGAGUGGCGAACGGGUGAGUAACACGUGAGUAACCUGCCCUUGACUUCGGGAUAACUUCAGGAAACUGGGGCUAAUACCGGAUAGGAAUCCUUGCUGCAUGGUGGGGGUUGGAAAGCUUCGGCGGUUUUGGAUGGACUCGCGGCUUAUCAGCUUGUUGGUGGGGUAGUGGCUUACCAAGGCUUUGACGGGUAGCCGGCCUGGGAGGGCGACCGGCCACAGUGGGACUGGGAUACGGCCCAGACUCCUACGGGAGGCAGCAGUGGGGAAUAUUGCACAAUGGGCGGAAGCCUGAUGCAGCAACGCCGCGUGCGGGAUGACGGCCUUCGGGUUGUAAACCGCUUUCAGCAGGGGCGAAGCUUGUGGUGACGGUACCUGCAGAAGAAGCACCGGCUAACUACGUG